CCGUGUACAGGCCAGCAUCGGUUCUGGGGGUCGGUUAAAGGCUCGGGGAAUGUAUCUACCCCCCGGGCGUAGACUUAUAGCCCCGAGUGUCAUGCGGCCUUCCGGGACCGAGGAACGCGCUUCGGCUCGGAUGUUGGCGUAAUGGUUGUCAGCGA
rnacentral:rRNA from 1 species